rnacentral:ncRNA from 2 species
GGUAAGUAUAUACUAAAUGAGUUCCUUUUUAAAAAUAUAAGAAAUGAUUUGGGGAAACUGGUUAGAUUCCAGUGCAGUGCCGCUACGGUAAGUCCUGAUACGCCAUUUGGCGAGAAGGAACAAGCCCGACUACCAAUCAUUUUACUUGUCCCGAG